CGGUGGCUAAUACCGGAUGUGCCGAAAGGUGAAAGAUUUAUUGCCUGAAGAUGAGCUCGCGUCUGAUUAGCUAGUUGGUGUGGUAAGAGCGCACCAAGGCGACGAUCAGUAGCUGGUCUGAGAGGAUGAUCAGCCACACUGGGACUGAGACACGGCCCAGACUCCUACGGGAGGCAGCAGUGGGGAAUUUUCCGCAAUGGGCGAAAGCCUGACGGAGCAAUACCGCGUGAGGGAGGAAGGCUCUUGGGUUGUAAACCUCUUUUCUCAGGGAAUAAAAAAAUGAAGGUACUUGAGGAAUAACCAUCGGCUAACUCCGUGCCAGCAGCCGCGGUAAUACGGAGGAUGCAAGCGUUAUCCGGAAUGAUUGGGCGUAAAGCGUCCGCAGGUGGCACUGAAAGUCUGCUGUUAAAGAGCAAGGCUUAACCUUGUAAAGGCAGUGGAAACUACAGAGCUAGAGUACGUUCGGGGCAGAAGGAAUUCCUGGUGUAGCGGUGAAAUGCGUAGAGAUCAGGAAGAACACCGGUGGCGAAAGCGUGCUACUAGGCCGUAACUGACACUGAGGGACGAAAGCUAGGGGAGCGAAUGGGAUUAGAUACCC
rnacentral:rRNA from 1 species